rnacentral:rRNA from 1 species
GAUGAACGCUGGCGGCGUGCCUAAUACAUGCAAGUCGAGCGAACGGACGAGAAGCUUGCUUCUCUGAUGUUAGCGGCGGACGGGUGAGUAACACGUGGAUAACCUACCUAUAAGACUGGGAUAACUUCGGGAAACCGGAGCUAAUACCGGAUAAUAUUUUGAACCGCAUGGUUCAAAAGUGAAAGACGGUCUUGCUGUCACUUAUAGAUGGAUCCGCGCUGCAUUAGCUAGUUGGUAAGGUAACGGCUUACCAAGGCAACGAGGCAUAGCCGACCUGAGAGGGUGAUCGGCCACACUGGAGCGGAGACACGGUCCAGACUCCUACGGGAGGCAGCAGUAGGGAAUCUUCCGCAAUGGGCGAAAGCCUGACGGAGCAACGCCGCGUGAGUGAUGAAGGUCUUCGGAUCGUAAAACUCUGUUAUUAGGGAAGAACAGAUGUGUAAGUAACUGUGCACAUCUUGACGGUACCUAAUCAGAAAGCCACGGCUAACUACGUG